rnacentral:rRNA from 1 species
UACAGAGACUGCAAGCGUUAUUCGGAUUCACUGGGCGUAAAGGGUGCGCAGGCGGCCAAGUGUGUGAGGCGUGAAAGCCCGGGGCUUAACCCCGGAAUUGCACCUCAAACUACGUGGCUAGAGCAUUGGAGAGGGUAGCAGAAUUCAUGGUGUAGCAGUGAAAUGCGUAGAUAUCAUGAGGAAUACCAGAGGCGAAGGCGGCUACCUGGACAAUUGCUGACGCUCAGGCACGAAAGCGUGGGGAGCAAAAGGG